rnacentral:rRNA from 1 species
ACUCAAAGGAAUUGACGGGGGCCCGCACAAGCGGAGGAACAUGUGGUUUAAUUCGAUGAUACGCGAGGAACCUUACCCGGGAUUGAAAUGGAGGGGAAUGGAGGUGAAAGUCUUCAGUCAGCAAUGACCCCUUUGUAGGUGCUGCAUGGUUGUCGUCAGCUCGUGCCGUGAGGUGUCGGCUUAAGUGCCAUAACGAGCGCAACCCUGAUUGUCAGUUGCUAGCAGGUAAAGCUGAGGACUCUGACGAGACUGCCGGCGUAAGCUGUGAGGAAGGUUGGGAUGACGUCAAAUCAGCACGGCCCUUACAUCCGGGGCGACACACGUGUUACAAUGGCAGGGACAGAGGGCAGCUACCGGGCGACCGGAUGCGAAUCUCCAAACCCUGUCUCAGUUCGGAUCGGAGUCUGCAACUCGACUCCGUGAAGCCGGAUUCGCUAGUAAUCGCGCAUCAGCCAUGGCGCGGUGAAUACGUUCCCGGGCCUUGUACACACCGCCCGU